CAUCGCCUCUUGACCAAAUAUAAGAGGUCCAGCCUGCCCAGUGAUAAUAAUUCAACGGCCGCGGUACCCUAACCGUGCAAAGGUAGCAUAAUCACUUGUCCCUUAAAUGAGGACUAGAAUCAAUGGCAUCACGAGGGUUUUACUGUCUCCUUUCUCCCUUCAGUGAAACUGAUCUCCCCGUGAAGAAGCGGGGAUUAUUUUAUAAGACGAGAAGACCCCAUGGAGCUUAAAGCUUAACAAACACUUACUUUUUAUACCAAAAAUCACGUAAAAUUGUUUGCUAACUUAGGUUGGGGCGACCGCGGAGUAUAAUAAAACCUCCAUAACAAAAGGAGCUAAUAACCCUAAUCCAAGAGUGACAUCUCUAAGAAUCAAUAUAUUGAUGUAAAACGAUCCGACACUCGAUCAAUGAACCAAGUUACCCUGGGGAUAACAGCGCAAUCCACUCCAAGAGCCCUUAUCRACAAGUGGGUUUACGACCUCGAUGUUGGAUCAGGAUAUCCCAGUGGUGCAACCGCUACUAAUGGUUCGUUUGUUCAACGAUUAAAAUCCUACGUGAUCU
rnacentral:rRNA from 1 species